rnacentral:piRNA from 1 species
UAAACAGCAUCUUCUUUUUUA